AGUGAACGCUGGCGGUAGGCCUAACACAUGCAAGUCGAACGGCAGCACAGUAAGAGCUUGCUCUUACGGGUGGCGAGUGGCGGACGGGUGAGGAAUACAUCGGAAUCUACUUUUUCGUGGGGGAUAACGUAGGGAAACUUACGCUAAUACCGCAUACGACCUACGGGUGAAAGCAGGGGAUCUUCGGACCUUGCGCGAUUGAAUGCGCCGAUGUCGGAUUAGCUAGUUGGCGGGGUAAAGGCCCACCAAGGCGACGAUCCGUAGCUGGUCUGAGAGGAUGAUCAGCCACACUGGAACUGAGACACGGUCCAGACUCCUACGGGAGGCAGCAGUGGGGAAUAUUGGACAAUGGGCGCAAGCCUGAUCCAGCCAUACCGCGUGAGUGAAGAAGGCCUUCGGGUUGGAAAGCCCUUUUGUUGGGAAAGAAAAGCAGCAGGUUAAUACCCCGCUGUUCUGACGGUACCCAAAGAAUAAGCACCGGCUAACUUCGUG
rnacentral:rRNA from 1 species